GGAAGCAGUUUUCUGAAGAUCGUCGCCCUAGUCCCUUAAGGUGGGGGUGGAUAGGUUUGGUCAUUUGAUAUGAUACAAUUGUUAUCUAGGAUGAAAGGUUACUAUUGGUUAUGACCAAGAUUGAUAAACAUUUAAAGUCAUUUUAUUGGAAUUACUGUAUAAUAGAAAUUUAAGGUAAUUUUGUUUGAUUAUGUUCUUAGAAAUUUCAGAUUUAUGUUUUACCAUUACUUAUGGAAAGCAAUUGAAGUUUUUGUUUGCAUUGUAUUUUGAUGGAAAUUUUAAAUUGUUUUGAAGUAUUGUAUAUUGAUAGAAACCUGAGGUGUUUAUUUUUUUUGUAUUGUAUAUUGAUAGAAAGGUAAGGUUUUGUUAAUCAUUUGACUUUACUAUACAAGUGGCAUUAAUAGAAAGUGUGAUGGUUCUUAAAAUAAUUUCCAAUGUGUAUAGAUUGCUAAUGAUAGUGAAUAGGACAAUUCUUAAAGAAAAAGGGGUAUGUGAAGAGGAGACUUCUAGGUCUUUAAAAAGGUAAUUUUGCCAAAGGAUGUUUUGCUGGGGCACACAGGUGAAAGGAUGUCUUGCUAUAGCAAACGCAUGUCAUAGACUUUUCCUGAAGCAGACACAGGUGAAAUGCUGUUUGGAUAUAGCAGACACAUGAAAUGGCUCCUGAUGAAGGAGUAUAAAUCUGACCCCACAGACUGUGGGAGAUGAGCACUGAGCUUUGGUUUGCUCCAACUCGCCAUUCUUCAGUAAAGACACUCCAUGCAAUUGUUCCCCUUACAUAGCGUUGGUGAGCUCAACUUGUGAUAAAGCUGCCAUGGAGAGAAGCUCGCCCCAGAACUGCUUAUGAGUUUCCUGCAGCAGCUUGUCACUUCUGUGGCCUGACCUCAGGUCGGUGGCCAGCCUGGUGGUUUCUUUAUGAUUGAAGUAUAUCUGCCUGGUGUCUGCUUCCUGAAUGGACUGGACUGUGGCUGCUCGUUUGUGCCUCUUUUCUGCCUGCCUAGAGGACUGGCCUGCAGCUGCUGAGUCCUGUUUGGUGUUUGCUCUGGAAGAGAACAGCUGCCCAAGGCGAGGGAGCUCACUCCUAGAAAACUACUGCUGAGCAGGUCCACUUCCCCAC
ensembl:lncRNA